rnacentral:sRNA from 1 species
GUACAUUUAGUAGAGAUGGGGUUUCACCAUGUUAGCCAGGAUGGUCUCGAUCUCCUGACCUCGUGAUCCACCCGCCUCGGCCUCCUAAAGUGCUGGGAUUACAGGCGUGAGCCACUGUGCCCGGCCAGAAUUACAGAUCUUUACAGCAAAUGCUUAUAUUUUAAGAAGUGUGUCUGUCACCUCUAGUCUUGGUGGCUCAGAUGAAGGAUAACUGCAUUUCUCAACCAGUGAUGUAUUUACAGUAGGUGCUGCUUUUCUUUUGUGUGUGUGUAUCUUAGGAAUCUUUUGGGUGAGUUGUGAGGCUGGCACCUACAUUCGGACAUUAUGUGUGCACCUUGGUUUGUUAUUGGGAGUUGGUGGUCAGAUGCAGGAGCUUCGGAGGGUUCGUUCUGGAGUCAUGAGUGAAAAGGACCACAUGGUGACAAUGCACGAUGUGCUUGAUGCUCAGUGGCUGUAUGAUAACCACAAGGAUGAGAGUUACCUGCGGCGAGUUGUUUACCCUUUGGAAAAGCUGUUGACAUCUCAUAAACGGCUGGUUAUGAAAGACAGUGCAGUAAAUGCCAUCUGCUAUGGGGCCAAGAUCAUGCUUCCAGGUGUUCUUCGAUAUGAGGACGGCAUUGAGGUCAAUCAGGAGAUUGUGGUUAUCACCACCAAAGGAGAAGCAAUCUGCA